UUUUUUGGAGACAGUGUCUUGCCCUGUCACCCAGGCUGGAGUGCAGUGGUGUGAUCUUGGUUCACUGCAGCCUCGACUUCCUGGGUUCAAGUGAUCCUUCUGCCUCAGCCUCCCAAAUAGCUGGGACUAUAGGCAUGCAUCACCACACCCAGCUAAUUUCUGUAUUUUUUGUAGAGACACCGUUUCACCAUGUUGCCCAGGCUGGUCUCAAAACUCCUGUGCUCAAGCAGUCUGCCCGCCUUGGCUUCCCAAAGUGCUGACAUUACAGGUAUGAGCCACUGCACCCGGUCCCUAGUAGGGUAUUUUUAACUUGGCAAAAAGGGUAUUAAUCAGAAACAUACACUAUCCAUCACUGAGUAUUAUACUCUUGAUUUUGCAAUGUAAGAGUUUUAACCUAUUUGUCUGACAGAAGGUGUAAAAGUGCUGGACAUGCUGCAGAAAGAAACAGGAAAAGCAUCUUGCUGCACUCCAAAGAAUGCAAAUUUUAAUGUGCCUUCCAAUAAAUGCAAGGAAACCGAAAGAGUUAAUAGUAUCAUACAAUGACUGGGAUGUAUUGAUAAUGCUACAGUGAUCCAUUAACAGCACUUGUUCAGGUGCUGGGAAUGCAACUGGAUGACAGCCUUCACCCAUCAACCCUCUAUGGGAAUUGUCCUGAGCUGAAGGGAGCCACCUUAUCCAAGACCACUCUCUUUUCCUGGGGAUAGCCUGCCUCUCAUAUCUGGUUUUUUUCUUCUACUACACAGCUGUGUAGUUCCGUUAUGGCUUUAUCUCCAUCAACAGCAAUGCCUAGGAGGGAGUCAAACAGAUUCCAAGUGAGAAAAGGAGUUAACAUGCCAUUGCUGCUUUGAAGAUGGAAGGAGCCUGUGGCGAGGAUAUGAAGGGCCUCUAGAAGCUGUGAGCAGCCCCCAGCUCACAGCCAGCAAGCAAACAAGGACCUCAGCUCAGCAACAGCAAGGACGUGAAUCCUGCCAAUAACAGAAAUGAGCUUGAAAGAAGACACCAAGCUCCAGGUAAGAAAGCAGCCAGCCAACACUUAGAGCCUUGUGAAACUCUAAGCAGAGAACCCACCCAUGCUAUUCUAGACUUCUGACUACAGAACUGUGAGAUAUUAAA
rnacentral:lncRNA from 1 species